CGCAGGCGGUCGUUCAAGUCGAGUGUGAAAGCCCCCGGCUCAACUGGGGAGGGUCAUUCGAUACUGAUCGACUCGAAGGCAGGAGAGGGAAGCGGAAUUCCCGGUGUAGUGGUGAAAUGCGUAGAUAUUGGGAAGAACACCGGUGGCGAAGGCGGCGCUCUGGACCGAGACUGACGCUGAGGCGCGAAAGCGUGGGGAGCAAACA
rnacentral:rRNA from 1 species